rnacentral:rRNA from 9 species
CCCGUACUUGGUGUUACUGCGAAGGGGGGACGGAGAAGGCUAUGUUGGCCGGGCGACGGUUGUCCCGGUUUAAGCGUGUAGGUGUGUGUUCCAGGUAAAUCCGGUUCACUUUAACACUGAGGCGUGACGACGAGGCACUACGGUGCUGAAGCAACAAAUGCCCUGCUUCCAGGAAAAGCCUCUAAGCAUCAGGUAACAUCAAAUCGUACCCCAAACCGACACAGGUGGUCAGGUAGAGAAUAC